rnacentral:rRNA from 1 species
AGCGAACGCUGGCGGCGUACUUAACACAUGCAAGUCGAACGAGGAUCUUCGGUGUAGCAAUACAUCGUUGGUCCUAGUGGCGCACGGGUGAGUAACACGUGGGUGACCUGCCCUUGAGCUCGGGAUACCCCCUCGAAAGGGGGGCUAAUACCGGAUACGUUCCUCGGUCGAAAGACUGAGGAGGAAAGGUGGCGCAAGCUGCCGCUCUUGGAGGGGCUCGCGGCCUAUCAGCUAGUUGGCGGGGUAACGGCCCACCAAGGCUAUGACGGGUAGCUGGUCUGAGAGGACGACCAGCCACACGGGGACUGAGACACGGCCCCGACUCCUACGGGAGGCAGCAGUGGGGAAUUUUCCGCAAUGGGCGAAAGCCUGACGGAGUGACGCCGCGUGUGGGACGAAGGCCUUCGGGUCGUAAACCACUGUCAGUGGGAAAGAUGGGUGUCGGUGCUAAUACCAUCGGCAUCUGACGGUACCUGCAGAGGAAGCCCCGGCCAACUCU